GAUGAACGCUGGCGGUGUGCUUAACGCAUGCAAGUGGCGCGACGAACCAGAGCUUGCUCUGGGGCAAAGCCGCGAACGGGUGAGUAACACGUGGGUAACCUGCCCCGAUGACUGGGACAACCCGGGGAAACCCGGGCUAAUACCGGAUGAUGCAUCCCGGCUCAAGCCGGGAUGCCAAAGGUAGCUUCGGCUUCCGCAUUGGGAGGGGCCCGCGGCCCAUUAGCCUGUUGGUGGGGUAAUGGCCUACCAAAGCAACGAUGGGUAGCUGGUCUGAGAGGACGAUCAGCCAGACUGGGACUGAGACACGGCCCAGGCUCCUACGGGAGGCAGCAGUGGGGAAUCUUGCGCAAUGCGCGAAAGCGUGACGCAGCAACACCGCGUGAGGGAAGACGGCCUUAGGGUUGUAAACCUCUUUCAGUUGGGACGGAGGUUCGACGGUGAAUAGCCGGCCGGACUGACGGUACCUUCAGAAGAAGCUCCGGCUAACUACGUGCCAGCCGCCGCCGUAA
rnacentral:rRNA from 1 species